UACGAAGGGUGCAAACGUUGCUCGGAAUUAUUGGGCGUAAAGCGCACGUAGGCGGCCUUGUAAGUCGGAUGUGAAAUCCCUCGGCUUAACCGAGGACGUGCAUCCGAAACUGAGUGGCUUGAGUACUAAAGAGGGUCGCGGAAUUCCCGGUGUAGAGGUGAAAUUCGUAGAUAUCGGGAGGAACACCAAUGGCGAAGGCAGCUCGCUGGGACGGUACUGACGCUGAGACGCGAAAGCGUGGGGAGCAAACAGG
rnacentral:rRNA from 1 species